UUUUAGCCCCGAUUGAAGUGAAAAUCCUUUUUAUUUUUUCUUUAAAAAUAAAAAGAUUGUAACGAAAAGCGGGAAUAGCU
rnacentral:sRNA from 1 species